AACCAUUUAGCUCAGUCAGUAGAGCAUUAAUUUUUUAACUGAAAGGUUCUGAGUUCGAGCCUAGUAUUGGUUA
rnacentral:tRNA from 1 species